GACGAACGCUGGCGGCGUGCUUAACACAUGCAAGUCGAGCGGAAAGGCCCUGCUUUUGUGGGGUGCUCGCGUGGCGAACGGGUGUGUAACACGUGAGUAUCCUGCCCUUGACUUUGGGAUAACUUCAGGCAACUGGGGCUAAUACAGGAUAGGAGCUCCUGCUGCAUGGUGGGGGUCGGAACGUUUCGGCGGUUGGGGAUGGACUCGCGGCUUAUCAGCUUGUUGGUGGGGUAGUGGCUUACCAAGGCUUUGACGGGUAGCCGGCCUGAGAGGUUGACCGGCCACAUUGGGACUGAGAUACGGCGCAGACUCCUACGGGAGGCAGCAGUGGGGAAUAUUGCACAAUGGGCGGAAGCCUGAUGCAGCAACGCCGCGUGCGGGAUGACGGCCUUCGGGUUGUAAACCGCUUUCGCCUGUGACGAAGCGUGAGUGACGGUAAUGGGUAAAGAAGCACCGGCUAACUACGUG
rnacentral:rRNA from 1 species